AUUGAACGCUGGCGGCAGGCCUAACACAUGCAAGUCGAGCGGAUGAAGGGAGCUUGCUCCUGGAUUCAGCGGCGGACGGGUGAGUAAUGCCUAGGAAUCUGCCUGGUAGUGGGGGAUAACGUCCGGAAACGGGCGCUAAUACCGCAUACGUCCUGAGGGAGAAAGUGGGGGAUCUUCGGACCUCACGCUAUCAGAUGAGCCUAGGUCGGAUUAGCUAGUUGGUGGGGUAAAGGGCUACCAAGGCGACGAUCCGUAACUGGUCUGAGAGGAUGAUCAGUCACACUGGAACUGAGACACGGUCCAGACUCCUACGGGAGGCAGCAGUGGGGAAUAUUGGACAAUGGGCGAAAGCCUGAUCCAGCCAUGCCGCGUGUGCGAAGAAGGUCUUCGGAUUGUAAAGCACUUUAAGUUGGGAGGAAGGGCAGUAAGUUAAUACCUUGCUGUUUUGACGUUACCAACAGAAUAAGCACCGGCUAACUUCGUG
rnacentral:rRNA from 1 species